AUUGAACGCUGGCGGCAUGCUUUACACAUGCAAGUCGAACGGUAACAGGCCUUCGGGUGCUGACGAGUGGCGAACGGGUGAGUAAUGCAUCGGAACGUGCCCAAUCGUGGGGGAUAACGUAGCGAAAGUUACGCUAAUACCGCAUAAGCCCUGAGGGGGAAAGCAGGGGAUCGCAAGACCUUGCGCGAAUGGAGCGGCCGAUGUCAGAUUAGCUAGUUGGUGGGGUAAAGGCCUACCAAGGCGACGAUCUGUAGCGGGUCUGAGAGGAUGAUCCGCCACACUGGGACUGAGACACGGCCCAGACUCCUACGGGAGGCAGCAGUGGGGAAUUUUGGACAAUGGGCGCAAGCCUGAUCCAGCCAUGCCGCGUGCGGGACGAAGGCCUUCGGGUUGUAACCGACGUUCUAGCCGGAAGAAUACGCCAAGGCUAAUAUCCUUGGUGGA
rnacentral:rRNA from 1 species